UGUGGAUGUCCUAAGUGAAAUCAGGGAUAUUACGGGGAUCCUUUUCGGACUGACCAAGGAUUACAAUAUUGAUAAAUUCAUGGCUGUGUUUCUGGACUCCCUUCUUGAGCACAGGAAGCCUUGCCGGGUAGAUUCUGGAUUCCUUUCACAAACACUACCAAUUUGAAUCAGAAUGCCAAAAUAAGUCCAAGAAAGAUAGUUCGAGCUAUGACAUACUCUGCAAGAUAUUUGGUUGAAUCUUGGAUUUAUCAAAGGGCAUAUAUGAUUUGAAAUUUUUGUUUGGUCUCGAACAUCCAGAGGUUGAGGUUCGAUGUUCAGUGAUCUCAAGUUUGGAUGUCGAUGGCAUAAUGAGGGAGAAAGCUGCUGGCUCGAAGGUGAAACUCUACGAAUGAAAAGGAAGUGAAGGAAAGAAGCAAAAAUUGACAAGAAAUGACAAAAUCUAAAGUACGUGGACUAAAUUGGCCAUUGGAUGAAAAUUGAGGAAUUGGAAAUAAAACCACCAUAAUGGGCUUGGAAUUUAAUUGGAAGUGGACUCCUACUUGCAGAAGUAAAGUGGAUAUAUAUAUAUCUCAUGCAAGUCGGCAACUGGGAGUUCGGGUGUUAAUCAAAUUGGGUUGCUGCUAGGUUAAAGAUAUAUACAAAAAGGCGUAGAAAUUAAGGAGGGCGGUCUGCUGCGAAAAUCGAUUAUAAAUACACUCAAGAAAUCGGCAGCUUUGGGGAGCAAACAUUGUAUAUUUAUUCUGAUAGAAAACCAAAGCAAGAGGGAAGAAAAAGAAAUUGGCAGCUGCUGAAUUUAUAUAUUUAUACUUAGAAAAGGCUGCCUUAGAGAGGAGAGAAUUGAGUUGAAAUAUAAUAUAUAUAUCUCACGCAAAUUGGCGGUUGUUGGAAGAGGCAGAAAGCCGAAGAUACACGGCCUAUCUACUGCUGGAAUUAAUAUAAAUGCAAAGGAACGGAGGUAGAUAUACGCAGAUAGAGACAAGUAAUUACUGGAAGUAGACGUCACAUGCAGAAACAUCGAAGAAGAAAAAAUGGCAGAAUCAUUGUGAUAAAAAUUAAUUACGUUCCGUCAAAAAUUUUGGAACAUGAUGUCGCGUAACACUCAAAUCAACAUAGACUAAGGGGAAAACAUGAUGAAGGAGAAUGUCUAAUAGUUGUCCAAAGUGUCUUCUACGUUCAACAGGAAAAUCCGGGGAGUACCUUCUUUCUUUUCUUCCAUCCCCUUGUAUUCUUAAUUAUAUUUUAAGACAUUGAGGACAAUGUCAGGUUUAAUUUUGAGGGUAGGAAAAACUUUUGAGUUUUUUCGUAUAUUUUUGUGUUUUCUUAAAAAAAAAAAAAGGUUAAAAUUUUUUAUUUUUGUGUGCUUAUAAAAAAAAAAUAUUUUUUUUAUUAUUUUGUUUGUGUACUUGUGUGAGUUAGACAAUUUGGUUGACUAUGAUGAUUAAAUUUGAGAUUUGGUAUCGAUUUAUGAAUUGUGGAUAAGAUGCAUGCUAGACUAAUUGAAACUCAACUUUGCAAAACUUGAUAUUAUACGUGCACUAGAAUUGAGUUUGACAUUGUGAUGAAAUGAGUUGAUUCAUAUGCUUGAUAGGUUGAUUUAAUCGGACAUAGACGCUUUACCCAUACCAUACAAAUUAAUUUUUCUUAGACCAAAUUUAGCACGGUUUAGGGAUUAUUUUGCUGUUGUAGGAAGAUACGGAUGUGGACAGGGAUUCCAUGCGUGAAAACUUAUGUGUGGAUUGUCUUAGAUUAACAAGAUAAAAUUGGGUGAAGUCUUGAGUUGGAAGUCGGUUUACUUGAGUAGGUGUGUGAUAAGGGACAUUGCACUAAUCAAGGCAUAUAUUUUGAAAUUUAAAACUUCUCUCUAAAACUUUUAUGACUCGAGUAAUUAAGCCUGUAAGGGUAUCUUAAAACCCGAUGCCCUAAAGUCGUCUGACUUGGGAGUCAUCGGCCUAAAACUCGUUACAGGGGUCAUUUAGAAAGUAAUUAGAGAUGAAGUUGUACUUGAAAAAAAAAUUUAUUCGCUUUGAAGCCUUUUUGACUCGGGUUAUUAAGCCUGUAAGGAUAUCUUAAAAUCUGGUGCCCUAAAGUCGUCUGACUUAGGAGUCAUCGGCCUAAAGCCUGCUACAGGAGUCAUCUAGAAAGCUUAAUGGAGAGAAUAAAAAAAACUCUUAAAAAUAAGAAAAAGCAAGUGCAUGGAAAAAGCGAAAGCACUAAAUACCUUGUUAAGUCCUAACACUUAUUCGAGAAAAUUUAACUUUCGAUUGAAGAUAAUUAGUCUAGUUGAGUCUUGGCGGUCGAAGCAAUCAAAUUAAUUGAGAAUCCUUGUUCAUUGAUGUAUUGACUUGCAACCAGUUAUGUCCACCUGAACUAGAGAGGGUAAGGAUACUAAUGAAAAGUUCAAUCUUAGAUCACACGCUGGGAAAAUAGUGGAAAAAAAUAUAAUAAGUUUGGGGGUGUGUGAAUCUUACGAGAGAUGAAAUGAUAUAUUUGACCAUAGAGGGUCGGAAAUUGAAGCAACUUGUGAAUUCAUUAAUGUCUACUUAAUUUUUCACACACACACACACGUCAGUUUUGUAUUGGAAGAGUGAAUGCUGGUUUGGUAUUGUGACUUUGAAGCGAUUUGUAGAUUUAAUACGAUGAUCUCAAAUCAUGAGGUAAAAAAGCUAGACUGUCGAACCAAAUAUUUUUGCAUGCUUAUUUGUUAUUAUUUAGGUUAUAAUUUUGUUUGAAGACAAACAAAUAUUUAAGUUUGGGGGUGUUUGAUAAGUGUAUUUUAUACACUUAUUCGAGGCUCUAAAAUAACGAUAUUUGAUAGUCUUCUGAUAAAAUACAUUCUAAAUUGUUGUGUUUUACGUUUAAUAGGUGAAACUUUACGAAUGAAAAGUAAGUGAAGGAAAGAAGCAAAAAUUGACGAGAAAUGACAAAAUCUAAAGUACGUGGACUAAAUUAGCCAUUGGAUGAAAAUUGAGGAAUUGGAAAUAAAACCACCAUAAUGGGCUUGGAAUUUAAUUGGAAAUGGACUCCUACUUGCAGAAGUAAAGUGGAUUUAUAUAUAUCUCAUGCAAGUCGGCAGCUUGGGAGUUCGGGUAUUAAUCAAAUUGGACUGCUGCUAGGUUAAAGAUAUAUACAAAAAGGCGCAGAAAUUAAGGAGGGCGGUCUGCUGCGAAAAUCAAUUAUAAAUACACUCAAGAAGUAGGUAGCUUUGGAGGAGCUUUGGGGAGCCAACAUUGAAUAUUUAUUCUGACAGAAAACCAAAGCAAGAGGGAAGAAAAAGAAAUUAGCAGCUGCUGAAUUUAUAUAUUUAUACUUAGAAAAGGCUGCCUUAGAGAGGAGAGAAUUGAGCUGAAAUAUAAUUUAUAUAUCUCACGCAAAUUGGCGGUUGUUGGAAGAGGCAGAAAGCCGCCUAUCCACAGCUGGAAUUAAUAUAAAUGCAAAGGAACGGAGAUAGAUAUACGCAGAUAGAGACAAGUAAUCAUUGGAAGGAGACGACACAUGCAGAAACAUCGAAGAAGAAAAAACGGCAGAAUCAUUGUGAUAAAAAUUAAUUACGUUCCGUCAAAAAUUUUGAAAUUUGUCGCCACUCAAGAUCCAAUACUGCGGCAGCUUUAUGACGAUGGCCUAAAUGUUAUCCUUGCUAUUCUGAAUAUAAAGAAAUUGUCAGAAAUUAUAAGUUCUUCACUUGUUAUUGAAGCACUCCAACAUGUGCUUCAGAGGUUUAGUGAGAUCUUAUUGUCAAGUUCUUUAAAUUACACUUCUCUACCUUGUGAUACUGCUCUAUUGUGCCUGCAACAACUGAUUAUGAGUUUUAAAGAUCUUGAAGAAUAUGCAUCGAACAUAGCAAUGUCAAUUUUCCCAUUAAUUCUAAUUCUACCCAAGACGUGGAGAUUGAAUCUGAAGGCACUGGAAUUAGCUAAGGAGUUAAAAUGGUCUCUUUAUGGGAAUCUUGUCAAUCUUUCUGGUCGAGAGAAGGUAAGUUGAUUUUCCAUAGGCAAGCUUAUAUGUAAUAUCCCUUGCAUUUGUAUCCAUAGCUUUGGAAAUGUUGAUUUCAAAUUUUAAUAAUGAAAUGUCCAAUCCCUUGGAUAGAGUUUUUCAUGUCUCCGACCUAAAAUCUAGCAUCUUCCCUGGAC